rnacentral:tRNA from 1 species
GUCCCUGUAGUAUAUCGCACAUUACCCUGGUCUUGUAAACCAGAAAAGGAGGAAAACGCCUCCCAAGGACU